rnacentral:rRNA from 1 species
GUCGGAUAGUAUCCUUACGUGAAUACAUAGCGUGAGGAAGGCAGACCCAGGGAACUGAAACAUCUAAGUACCUGGAGGAAGAGAAAGAAAAAUCGAUUUCCUGAGUAGCGGCGAGCGAAACGGAAAGAGCCCAAACCAAGAAGCUUGCUUCUUGGGGUUGUAGGACACUCUAUACGGAGUUACAAAAGAAAGUUAUAAAUGAAGCGGUCUGGAAAGGCCCGCCAAAGACGGUAACAGCCCGGUAGUUGAAAUGGCUUUCCCUCCAGAGUGGAUCCUGAGUACGGCGGAACACGUGAAAUUCCGUCGGAAUCCGGGAGGACCAUCUCCCAAGGCUAAAUACUCCCUAGUGACCGAUAGUGAACCAGUACCGUGAGGGAAAGGUGAAAAGCACCCCGGAAGGGGAGUGAAACAGUUCCUGAAACCGUGUGCCUACAAGUAGUUAGAGCCCGUUAAUGGGUGAUAGCGUGCCUUUUGUAGAAUGAACCGGCGAGUUACGAUUUGUUGCAAGGUUAAGCGGAAAAAGCGGAGCCGUAGCGAAAGCGAGUCUGAAUAGGGCGCAUAAGUAACAGGUCGUAGACCCGAAACCAGGUGAUCUACCCAUGUCCAGGAUGAAGGUAAGGUAAUACUUACUGGAGGUCCGAACCCACGCACGUUGAAAAGUGCGGGGAUGAGGUGUGGGUAGCGGAGAAAUUCCAAUCGAACUUGGAGAUAGCUGGUUCUCUCCGAAAUAGCUUUAGGGCUAGCCUCGAGGUAAAGAGUCAUGGAGGUAGAGCACUGUUUGGACUAGGGGCCCUUCUCGGGUUACCGAAUUCAGAUAAACUCCGAAUGCCAUGUACUUAUACUCGGGAGUCAGACUGCGAGUGAUAAGAUCCGUAGUCGAAAGGGAAACAGCCCAGACCACCAGUUAAGGUCCCCAAAUAUAUGUUAAGUGGAAAAGGAUGUGGGGUUGCUUAGACAACCAGGAUGUUGGCUUAGAAGCAGCCACCAUUGAAAGAGUGCGUAAUAGCUCACUGGUCGAGUGACCCCGCGCCGAAAAUGUACCGGGGCUAAACAUAUUACCGAAACUGUGGAUGAACCUCUUCGGAGGUUCGUGGUAGGAGAGCGUUCUAAGGGCGGUGAAGUCAGACCGGAAGGACUGGUGGAGCGCUUAGAAGUGAGAAUGCCGGUAUGAGUAGCGAAAGAAGGGUGAGAAUCCCUUCCACCGAAUAUCUAAGGUUUCCUGAGGAAGGCUCGUCCGCUCAGGGUUAGUCGGGACCUAAGCCGAGGCCGAUAGGCGUAGGCGAUGGACAACAGGUAGAGAUUCCUGUACCAGUGCUAAUUGUUUAACCGAUGGGGUGACACAGAAGGAUAGGGAAUCGCACGAAUGGAAAUGUGCGUCCAAGCAGUGAGUGUGA